UAUCUGGUCAGCUCAUGAAUCUGAAUGAAAAUUCUUUAGUUAAAGAUCAAAUUCGUAGUUCCCCCAUCAACUUUGUAAUUUCUGGAAGCACUGAAGUGGUGCAGUGAGUUGUUCCAACGAAGAUAUGUUUAUUAGUAUCAGAAAUUUUUUUUUAGACAAAGACGCACUUAUGGGAAGUUUCGGGGGUUAUUUGAAGUUCCUGACGGUUAUCUCGACCGUUUUUGGAGGGAUUCUAUAUUACGUCCCCAUAUCACGUUCAUAUUUCCGCAGAGGUUGUCAUAUUCUUAUUGACUUUGUGGCCUUCUCCUUGAAAUCAGUCCUAAAUUCAUUCGACGCUGAAUCUGAAAGUGUAAAUCAGGCCCGAGUGACGUUUCCAAAUGAUGUGAGUUAUCGGGAAUUCCCGAGAGGCACCAAGCAAGAGAGACGUCAGAGAAGGGAAGAAAUUCGAAUGAGACGUCGAGGCCAAGACGUUAAGAAGGGAAAUCAACAGUUGUCAACGGUACAACUUUAUCCCGGUGGUGGUUUACAGCUUCAGAAGUACUUGAGGGAGUCUCAUAGCCAGUUUGGAGAAAGCGAAAUAUACAUGUUGAAGGAACCAAGAAAUCCCGCGGCCAUAAAUUCAAAAUGGAGCAGCUCCACCAUAAGACGACGAGACGAUGAUCCUUUGUAUUCCGAAAUCGAUGAUGUCAGAACUCUAAAUAGCACACCUGAUG